rnacentral:rRNA from 1 species
GACGAACGCUGGCGGCGUGCCUAAUACAUGCAAGUAGGACGCAGUUGCGAACGGGUGAGUAACGCGUAGGUAACUGCCUAUUAGAGGGGGAUAACUAUUGGAAACGAUAGCUAAUACCGCAUACUAGUAGAUGGACCUGCGUUGUAUUAGCUAGUAGGUAGGGUAAUGGCCUACCUAGGCGACGGUACAUAGCCGACUCGGAAGGGGGAACGGGCACACUGGGACCUGGAAACGGGCCAGAAUCCUACGGGAGGCAGGAGUAGGGAAGUUUCGGAAAUGGGGGGAACCCUGACCGAGCAACGCCGCGGGAGUGAAGAAGGUUUUCGGAUCGGAAAGCUCUGUUGUUAAGGAAGCGGUACUUAAACAGAAAGGGACGGCUAACUACGUGCCAGCAGCCGCGGUAAUUC